UAGUAAGGUCAGCUAAUUUAAGCUUUUGGGCCCAUACCCCAAACAUGUAGGUUAAAAUCCUUCCUUUGCUAA
rnacentral:tRNA from 1 species